rnacentral:rRNA from 1 species
CCCUUAGAUGUUCUGGGCCGCACACGCGCUACACUGAAGGAGGCAGCGUGUACUCCUGGAUCGAAAGAUUUGGGUAACCCGCGAAUCUCCUUCGUGCUAGGGAUUGAGGUUUGCAAUUAUCCUUCAUGAACGAGGAAUUCCCAGUAAGUGCAAGUCAUAAGCUUGCGCUGACUACGUCCCUGCCCUUUGUACACACCGCCCGUCGCUACUACCGAUUGAAUGAUUUAGUGAGGACUUCGGACUGGGACCGAUGCGGCUUUCGGGCUGCGUCGGUAUUCUGGAAAGAUGUCCAAACUGUNUNAUUUAGNGGAGGUAAAANUCGUANCA